AGAGUUUGAUCCUGGCUCAGGAUGAACGCUAGCUACAGGCUUAACACAUGCAAGUCGAGGGGCAGCGGGGAGGAAGCUUGCUUUCUCCGCCGGCGACCGGCGCACGGGUGAGUAACGCGUAUCGAACCUGCCCAUACUCGGGAAUAGCCUUGCGAAAGUAAGAUUAAUGCCCGAUGUUUUCAGCGGUCCGCAUGAACUGCUGAACAAAGAUUUAUCGGUAUGAGAUGGCGAUGCGUCCCAUUAGCUUGUUGGCGGGGUAACAGCCCACCAAGGCAUCGAUGGGUAGGGGUUCUGAGAGGAAGGUCCCCCACAUUGGAACUGAGACACGGUCCAAACUCCUACGGGAGGCAGCAGGGAGGAAUAUUGGUCAAUGGACGCAAGUCUGAACCAGCCAAGUAGCGUGCAGGAUGACGGCCCUCUGGGUUGUAAACUGCUUUUAGUUGGGAAUAAAGUGCAGCUCGUGAGCUGUUUUGUAUGUACCAUCAGAAAAAGGACCGGCUAAUUCCGUGCCAGCAGCCGCGGUAAUACGGAAGGUCCGGGCGUUAUCCGGAUUUAUUGGGUUUAAAGGGAGCGCAGGCGGACUCUUAAGUCAGUUGUGAAAUACGGCGGCUCAACCGUCGGACUGCAGUUGAUACUGGGAGUCUUGAGUGCACACAGGGAUGCUGGAAUUCAUGGUGUAGCGGUGAAAUGCUCAGAUAUCAUGAAGAACUCCGAUCGCGAAGGCAGGUAUCCGGGGUGCAAACUGACGCUGAAGCUCGAAAGUGCGGGUAUCAAACAGGAUUAGAUACCCUGGUAGUCCGCACAGUAAACGAUGAAUACUCGCGGUUGGCGAUACAAUGUCAGCC
rnacentral:rRNA from 1 species